rnacentral:rRNA from 1 species
AGUCUAGCAUGUGUGCAAGUCAUUGGGUCUAACUAAACCUAAAGGCGAAAUGAAAGUAAAGGUCUUUCGGGACCGAGGGAGGAUGGCUGGCCCUCUGUGGUCGGCCCGCACUCCCGGGGCGUCUUAAUCUCUUUUAGAGACGAGGCGCACCAAGAGCGUACACGCUGGGACCCGAAAGAUGGUGAACUAUGCCCGGUCAGGACGAAGUCAGGGGAAACCCUGAUGGAGGUCCGUAGCGGUUCUGACGUGCAAAUCGAUCGUCUGAACUGGGUAUAGGGGCGAAAGACUAAUCGAACCAUCUAGUAGCUGGUUCCCUCCGAAGUUUCCCUCAGGAUAGCUGGCGCUCGAUGCGUACGAUUCUCAUCCGGUAAAGCGAAUGAUUAGAGGCAUUGGGGUCGAAACGACCUCAACCUAUUCUCAAACUUUAAAUGGGUGAGAACUCCGGCUUGCUCGAAAGUGAAGCCGCGAGAUCACGGAUCAGAGUGCCAAGUGGGCCAUUUUUGGUAAGCAGAACUGGCGCUGUGGGAUGAACCAAACGCCGAGUUAAAGCGCCUAAAUCGACGCUUAUGGGACACCAUGAAAGGCGUUGGUAACUUAAGACAGCAGGACGGUGGCCAUGGAAGUCGGAAUCCGCUAAGGAGUGUGUAACAACUCACCUGCCGAAGUUACUAGCCCUGAAAAUGGAUGGCGCUAAAGCGUCGUGCUUAUACUCGGCCGUCAGCGGCAAGUGCGGUUGCUUCGGCAGCCAUGAAGCCCUGACGAGUAGGAGGGUCGCGGCGGUGCGCGCAGAAGGGUUGGCCGUGAGGCCGCCUGGAGCCGCCGUCGGUGCAGAUCUUGGUGGUAGUAGCAAAUACUCCAGCGAGGCCCUGGAGAACUGAGGUGGAGAAGGGUUUCGUGUGAACAGUCGUUGCACACGAGUCAGUCGAUCCUAAGCCCUAGGCGAAAGCCGAGGUUGAUGUGACGUUGUCAAUCGCACGUUUAACGAAGAGCGAUGGCGGCCUUGCUGUAUCGCGCGCUAUUGCAUCUCCGACUGAAGAGGGUCGCCGUGAUUCUAAAUCAGGCUUGAUAAUCCGAAGUUGUCCGAAGGUGUAAAUUUUCGACGCAGUUUCCGUGCCAAAGCGCGCACGUCGAAGCUCCGCGUCAGCGCGCUUGAUGCGGCAGGAUGUACGCCGUUGCUUUUCUGUACGAUUUUAGAACACGUCCGUCCGGGCGAAAGGGAAUCCGGUUCCUAUUCCGGAACCCGGCAGCGGAACCGUCUUACAAUCGGGCCCUCAUUGAGGACUCGUCGGGGUAACCCGAAAGGACCCGGAGACGCCGUAGGGAUAUCCGGGAAGAGUUUUCUUUUCUGUAUAAGCGUUCGAGAUCCAUGGAAUCCUUUAGCAGGGAGAUAUGGAUUGGAACGCGAAGAGCACCGUACUUGCGGCGGUGUCCGGAUCAUCCCAUCGGCCCUUGAAAAUCCGGGAGAGGGCCACGUGUAGGGUCGCGCCGGUUCGUACCCAUAUCCGCAGCAGGUCUCCAAGGU